rnacentral:tRNA from 1 species
GGCCUGUAGCUCAGUGGCAGAGCGCUUGCCUAGCAUGCAUGAGACACUGGGUUUGAUCCUCAGCACCA